rnacentral:rRNA from 1 species
UACGUAGGGUGCAAGCGUUAAUCGGAAUUACUGGGCGUAAAGCGUGCGCAGGCGGUUGUGCAAGACAGAUGUGAAAUCCCCGGGCUUAACCUGGGAACUGCAUUUGUGACUGCACGGCUAGAGUGUGUCAGAGGGGGGUAGAAUUCCACGUGUAGCGGUGAAAUGCGUAGAUAUGUGGAGGAAUACCGAUGGCGAAGGCAGCCCCCUGGGAUAACACUGACGCUCAUGCACGAAAGCGUGGGGAGCAAACAGGAUGAGAAACCCCCGUAGUCC